ACCUACGGGACGCAGCAGUGGGGAAUAUUGGGCAAUGGGGGAAACCCUGACCCAGCGACGCCGCGUGGGUGAAGAAGCGCCUCGGCGCGUAAAGCCCUGUCAGCAGGGAAGAAAAUGACGGUACCUGAAGAAGAAGCCCCGGCUAACUACGUGCCAGCAGCCGCGGUAAUACGUAGGGGGCAAGCGUUAUCCGGAUUUACUGGGUGUAAAGGGGGCGCAGACGGCGAUGCAAGCCAGGAGUGAAAGCCCGGGGCUCAACCCCGGGACUGCAUUUGGAACUGUAAGGCUAGAGUGUCGGAGAGGCA
rnacentral:rRNA from 1 species